AGCACUCAGGGCUCCGGUCGUGCCCCCGGCGGGUGGAGAGAUCCUAAGAUCUUAACUUCCUGUGACGUCCUGAAGCAGACAGCGGAAGACCUGUUUCUUUAAUGCCCUUUGAUAUUCUUAUCAUCUCUUUUCUUCCCUUUCUUCUCCCCUCAAUCCGGUUAUGGAGGGCCCUCCUCAGAAAUCAGGGUGCUUCUGACCCACACAAGCAGGGUAGCUGGGAAGUCGCUCGGCACUUUCGCUUUCCAUCUUCUCUGUGAGAGAGGUCGCUGGCUGCUGCCACUUCAGACAGCUCAGACCUGGUGCAGCGUUGCCCUGGCGAUGGGGCAGCUCUGGUCGGCUAGAAUCCUGGAUCCCUUAGUGUUGGGUGCAGAGUUGGGACGUCUAAUAGCUGUUUCUGAAAGGGAAAAGAAAAGAGGAACCACCUUACCUCGCUAAAGCAGACCCUAACCAGAUAAAAAUGCUGACAACAAGCACGUAGACCAGAGAUUGGCUGAAACCAGGUUGACGAUGCUUGAAACUUGACCGUGAUGCCAGUCAAUCUGAGAAUUGUGCACAAGCUGAUCACACACCCUACAGCCUCACACUGCCUUUAAAACCCCUUCCCUGAAUGCCAUCAGGGAUUUCGGGUUUUGAGCAUGAGCUGCCCUUUCUCUUUUCUUGGUGCCCUACAAUAAAUGUUGUACUUUCCUUCACCACA